rnacentral:rRNA from 1 species
UGGCGGCGUGCCUAAUACAUGCAAGUCGAGCGAGAAUCAUUCGAUCGGAGAUCGUCGAAGAGAAAAUGAGGAAAGCGGCGGACGGGUGAGUAACGCGUAGGCAACCUGCCCCUAGCAGAGGGAUAGCCAUUGGAAACGAUGAUUAAAACCUCAUAAUGCUGUUUUAACACAUGUUGAGACAGCCAAAGAUUUAUCGGCUGGGGAUGGGGCCUGCGUCUGAUUAACUAGUUGGUGAGGUAACGGCCCACCAAGGUGACGAUCAGUAGCCGACCUGAGAGGGUGAUCGGCCACAUUGGAACUGAGACACGGCCCAAACUUCUACGGAAGGCAGCAGUAAGGAAUCUUGCACAAUGGGGGAAACCCUUGAUGCAGCAACGCCGCGUGAACGAUGAAGGCCUUAGGGUUGUAAAGUUCUGAUCUGGGGGAAGAAGAAAGUGACGGUACCCCAGGAGAAAGCCCCGGCUAAAUACGUGCCAGCCGCCGC